AGAGCCUCUAGCCCUCGGCUCUAAAAUUGGAACGAUGCAGAGAAGAUUAGAAUGGCCCCUGCACAAGGAUAACAGGCAGAUUCAUGAAGCGUUCCAUAUUUUU